UACGUAGGGGGCUAGCGUUGUCCGGAAUCACUGGGCGUAAAGGGUUCGCAGGCGGAAAUGCAAGUCAGAUGUAAAAGGCAGUAGCUUAACUACUGUAAGCAUUUGAAACUGCAUAUCUUGAGAAGAGUAGAGGUAAGUGGAAUUUUUAGUGUAGCGGUGAAAUGCGUAGAUAUUAAAAAGAAUACCGGUGGCGAAGGCGACUUACUGGGCUCAUUCUGACGCUGAGGAACGAAAGCGUGGGUAGCACACAGGAUUAGAUACCCUGG
rnacentral:rRNA from 1 species